rnacentral:rRNA from 1 species
CCCUUAGAUGCUCUGGGCCGCACGCGCGCUACACUGGUCGAUGCAACGAGUUUCUUUCCUUGGCCGACAGGCCUGGGCAAUCUUUGAACAUCGAUCGUGAUCGGGAUAGAUUCUUGUAAUUUUUGAUCUUAAACGAGGAAUUCCUAGUAAACGCAAGUCAUCAGCUUGCAUUGAUUACGUCCCUGCCCUUUGUACACACCGCCCGUCGCACCUACCGAUUGAAUGGUCCGGUGAAAUCUCCGGACUGGCAUGAGUCGGAGCAAUCUGACAAACACCGGAAAGUUGAUUAAACCUUACCAUUUAGAGGAAGGUGAAGUCGUAACA